AUGAAAUCUAACCGUGCCCCUGGCCCAGACGAUAUCCCUGUUGAAUUUUAUCAACACUGCUGGGAUGUAGUAGCCCGUGAUCUCCUAUGCCUAUUUGAAUGGUUUCAUGAAGGCAAGUUAGAUGUUCAACGACUUAAUUAUGGUAUCAUAACCUUGCUGCCUAAGUUGACUGAUGCUAAUAAAAUCCAGCAGUAUAGGCCCAUUUGUCUAUUACGUUGCCCUUACAAGCUACUCACUAAAGCCAUGGAUAUUAGAGCUAGCAAAUAUGCCCAUAAAUUGUUCAGUAUUCAACAGAAUGCUUUUAUUAAGGGGAGACACAUAGUGGAUGGGAUCCUAUCGCUACAUGAGGUUCUACAUUAUACCCACCUCAAAAAACAAGUGGGAGUGAUUCUUAAACUUGAUUUCGAGAAAGCAUAUGACAAAGUCAAUUGGGACUUUUUGCUUGAUUGUCAUAGGAAGCGUGGAUUUAGCUCUAAGUGGUGUGGAUGUGUAUCUCAAAUCCUAAAAAAUGGCACGGUUAGUGUCAAGAUUAAUGACGAGGUGGGACCUUACAUUCAAAGUGCUAAGGGGGUGAGACAGGGGGAUCCUCACUCCCCUUUCCUGUUCAAUAUUGCGGCUGAUUGCCUAACCAAAAUGGUUCUUACAGCUCAAAAAAAUGGUCUCAUUAAAGGGUUAGCCGCUGAUAUUGAGAAUGGUGUUGGCAUUCUACAAUACGCGGACUACACGGUGCUUUGUUUUGAACAUGAUGUUGACAAAGCUGUUAAUAUCAAACUCUUGUUGUAUCUCUUCGAAUUUAAGUCUGGGCUUAAGAUCAACUUUGAGAAGAGUGAGAUAUUUAGCAUGGGGGGGGGGGGAUAA
rnacentral:rRNA from 1 species